rnacentral:rRNA from 1 species
CCUACGGGUGGCAGCAGUGAGGAAUAUUGGUCAAUGGGCGGGAGCCUGAACCAGCCAAGUCGCGUGAGGGACGACGGUCCUAUGGAUUGUAAACCUCUUUUGUCGGGGAACAAAGGCGCCCACGGGUGGGCGGAUGAGUGUACCCGAAGAAAAAGCAUCGGCUAACUACGUGCCAGCAGCCGCGGUAAUACGUAGGGGGCAAGCGUUAUCCGGAAUUACUGGGUGUAAAGGGAGCGUAGACGGUUAAGUAAGUCUGGAGUGAAAGGCCGGGGCCCAACCCCGGGACUGCUCUGGAAACUAUUGAACUUGAGUGCAGGAGAGGUAAGCGGAAUUCCUAGUGUAGCGGUGAAAUGCGUAGAUAUUAGGAGGAACACCAGUGGCGAAGGCGGCUUACUGGACUGUAACUGACGUUGAGGCUCGAAAGCGUGGGGAGCAAACAGGAUUAGAUACCCUGGUAGUC